AGGAUGAACGCUGGCGGCGUGCCUAAUACAUGCAAGUCGAGCGCCUGCACGUUGUUCAUUAACUGCGGUUAGUGGACAGAGUGCAGGAGCGGCGGACGGCUGAGUAACGCGUAGGAACGUACCCAGAGUGAGGAAUAAGCCCGAGAAAUCGGGUCUAAUACCGCAUAAUCUCUUAGGAGCAAAGCUUCGGCGCUUUGGGAACGGCCUGCGUAUGAUUAGCUUGUUGGUGAGGUAAUGGCUCACCAAGGCGACGAUCAUUAGCUGGUCUGAGAGGAUGAUCAGCCAGACUGGGACUGAGACACGGCCCAGACUCCUACGGGAGGCAGCAGUAGGGAAUUUUCCACAAUGGGCGAAAGCCUGAUGGAGCAACGCCGCGUGCAGGAUGAAGGCCUUCGGGUCGUAAACUGCUUUAUGUGUGACGACUUCGACGGUAGCACAUGAAUAAGGAUCGGCUAACUCCGCGCCAGCAGCCGG
rnacentral:rRNA from 1 species